rnacentral:rRNA from 1 species
CCUACGGGAUGCACCAGUGGGGAAUAUUGCACAAUGGGCGCAAGCCUGAUGCAGCCAUGCCGCGUGUAUGAAGAAGGCCUUCGGGUUGUAAAGUACUUUCAGCGGGGAGGAAGGUGUUGUGGUUAAUAACCACAGCAAUUGACGUUACCCGCAGAAGAAGCACCGGCUAACCCCGUGCCAGCAGCCGCGGUAAUACGGAGGGUGCAAGCGUUAAUCGGAAUUACUGGGCGUAAAGCGCACGCAGGCGGUCUGUCAAGUCGGAUGUGAAAUCCCCGGGCUCAACCUGGGAACUGCAUUCGAGACUGGCAGGCUAGAGUCUUGUAGAGGGGGGUAGAAUUCCAGGUGUAGCGGUGAAAUGCGUAGAGAUCUGGAGGAAUACCGGUGGCGAAGGCGGCCCCCUGGACAAAGACUGACGCUCAGGUGCGAAAGCGUGGGGAGCAAACAGGAUUAGAUACCCGGGUAUC